UACGGAGGGUGCAAGCGUUAUCCGGAUUUACUGGGCGUAAAGGGCGCGUAGGCGGCGCAACAAGUCACUUGUGAAAUCUCCGGGCUUAACUCGGAACGGUCAGCUGAUACUGCUUUGCUAGAGUGCAGAAGGGGCAAUCGGAAUUCUUGGUGUAGCGGUGAAAUGCGUAGAUAUCAAGAGGAACACCUGAGGUGAAGACGGGUUGCUGGGCUGACACUGACGCUGAGGCGCGAAAGCUAGGGUAGCAAACGGG
rnacentral:rRNA from 1 species